UCUUUAAUGAGAUCCUAGGCCGUCAUAUGUUAACCCUGUAGUAGGAUUAGGAGAGAAUGUGUCCACUUGGUAUGAAUAUAGCUGUGCGCCUGCAUGGUUGAACUCAUGCCAAUAAUUUGAUAGAUAUCCUUUUUAAAUUUUUUAGUUAAUCGACUAAAAAGCCAUCGUACUUAACUACCAUCCUAAUCAAUGCUUUGCCAGUGAAGUCAGGGAA
rnacentral:lncRNA from 1 species